GGAUUCACUGGGUUUAAAGGGUGCGUAGGCGGGCAGGUAAGUCAGUGGUGAAAUCUCCGAGCUUAACUCGGAAACUGCCAUUGAUACUAUUUGUCUUGAAUAUUGUGGAGGUAAGCGGAAUAUGUCAUGUAGCGGUGAAAUGCUUAGAUAUGACAUAGAACACCAAUUGCGAAGGCAGCUUACUACACAAUGAUUGACGCUGAGGCACGAAAGCUAGGGGAGCAAACCGG
rnacentral:rRNA from 1 species